UACAGAGGGGGCAAGCGUUGUUCGGAAUUACUGGGCGUAAAGGGCGCGUAGGCGGCCCGCUAAGUCGAACGUGAAAUCCCCGAGCUCAACUCGGGAACUGCGUCCGAUACUGGUGGGCUUGAAUCCGGGAGAGGGAUGCGGAAUUCCAGGUGUAGCGGUGAAAUGCGUAGAUAUCUGGAGGAACACCGGUGGCGAAGGCGGCAUCCUGGACCGGCAUUGACGCUGAGGCGCGAAAGCUAGGGGAGCAAACAGG
rnacentral:rRNA from 1 species